rnacentral:tRNA from 1 species
GGGGAUGUAGCUUAAUUGGUAGAGCGCUAAUAUGCUUCUUAGAGGUCUAGGUUAAAUUCCAUGCAUCUCCA